ACUUAUGUAGUUUAAAUAAAACAUUACAUUUUCAUUGUAAAAAUGAUAUAAUAAUUAUCUAUAAGUA
rnacentral:tRNA from 1 species